GUAGAUGGUCCCCUCCAUGAAGAACCUCCAAGUAAGGUGACCAGGUAGAACCAACUCCCAUGUGAUGGCCAAAGGAUCAGUUGUCCAGAAGUACCAAAAAAUCACGUCAAAGCUACGGACCAAGACUGUUUCUUGAAUCACAGCCUUGUUUUUAAUCCCAACUAAAAGUAUUUACCCCAACCAAAGGUUUCACGAACCUCAGCGAUUUGGACCUCAGACCCUAAAAGAAACAGAUGUUUUUCAUGAGGUUUGGGGUUUUGUAACAGGAGAUUUCCAUGGUUUUAAUACCCAAAUCUACACCUGUUCCUCAAACUAUAAGGGAUAGAUUUAUGUCAUGCAGUGUAGUGGGCUGAUCCUAACACCCUUGUCGUGAGACAGAUUUACUGUAGCUGUCAAGACAAAUUUGCUGUAAGAAGUCAAUACCUCUCAGCCUGCCGGUGCCUUAAGGAGAAAAGGACUGGAUGUUUAAUGCUGUAAAUAUUUUAUUCUUGCUCUGCUAUACAAACCUCGCUCGGCCUCUCCCAACCAACUUCUAUUAUGCUCCAGUUUCUCAUGAGUAAAAUGGGGACAACACUUGUGAGAGUGGAGGGGAUAAGACCAGUGAAGAAAGGAAACUUCUGCCCAGGAAGUCAGUUCAGCAAAAAGAUGAGCCAUGUGGAUAGAGGAAGGACACCGAGCUGGCAGCAAAACCUGAUUGUACAAGCUAACCCUGUUGGGUGGAAACAGCUCCUGCUGGUGGGACGACUGGAGGCUCCCUGCUCCCCUGGGCGUGCUGCACCGGCUGCAGUGGGGUUGCAUUGCCAGAAUGCUGGAUUCAGAAGUGGGAGAAAAAGCAGAAGAGCUGCCAGGGGCUGCCCGGAUGUACGGUGCGGUGCGUGCACGGAGGAAACACGAGCCAUUGCACCGGCUGUUUGGCAGUUGAGGAGGACAUCAGGCCUCUGAAAUGGGAGGUGCAGCUCGCAGAGCUAGAUCUGUCUCAAGGAUGCCAGCAGGUGGUGGAAGCUCCAGCGUGUUCCCAGUGUGCUGUGUUCCCAACACCACCUUGACUGGGCCUGUCCUUCCAGGAGGAGAGGAUAGGCCUGGGCUUGUCUUGAACAGUUUUGUGUGCCCUCAAUGCCUGUGGUUAUGUACAGGUAGUAAGGUUUACCUGCAUGCAACAUGUCUUGUUGGAAAAGAAGGGAAGAGUGGUGGGUGCACUGCAGAAAAUCUGGUUCUGGCUCAGGUGCUGACUUCGAACUCCAUGAGCUCUUUCCUGUCUCUAUGUGCAGUGGGGAUGCUUUUUGAAAUCCCAUGAACUCUUUUCUCACAGUGAGGAUGCCUGUGGGUGAUUCACGUGUUUCAUGGUACUCACCCAAGCAGUGCAACAAAGACUGCUUUGCUUCCUUUCCAUGAAAUUCCCCUUGUCCCCCAGACUGUGGCUGUUCCAUGCUUUAGGCAGGAGGUUUUGCUGUGGCCAGUGGCUGUUUGUUUUGGUGUGUUUUUUCUCUCUUUGCUCACCUUGAUCUGUUCCUCUGGUCUGCUCCAGCACAGUACACUUCAGACCCACAUCUUUUAUUACCAUGUGAUGCUGCUCUUACUGCUGAGUGCAAGAUGCACACCAGCUCGGGCACCAAAACUCAGAGCUGCUGCCUGCAGUAUUGCUGGGAACAUGCACCGAGCCAUUGAUUUGGGCAUAGAAAAUAGGAAGCUAAGUCACGAUGUCAGAUAGGACAAAGUAAGGCAGGGCAAUAAGAACCGAGAGGAGCUGCACUGAAAUGGAGAACUCCUUGGCUGCAGAAACUUGUAAUUAUUUGGGCUCUGUCAGAGAUGAAUGGCUGUGUCUCCUUCCAGAGUCAUCUGCAUAGCUGGGUAAAUGUGAUUGCAUUGAUUUAGCGUGUCUUCAAGAGUCUUUUUACAACCACAGGAGCUAGAAAUGUCUUUUGUUGUUGUUGCUUUUUUUAAUGAA
rnacentral:lncRNA from 1 species